CCUACGGGAGGCAGCAGUGGGGAAUAUUGGGCAAUGGGCGCAAGCCUGACCCAGCAACGCCGCGUGAGGGAGGAAGGUUUUCGGAUUGUAAACCUCUGUCGCAGGGGACGAAGGAAGUGACGGUACCCUGUAAGAAAGCCCCGGCUAACUCCGUGCCAGCAGCCGCGGUAAU
rnacentral:rRNA from 1 species